UCGGGAAUUUUGGGCAAUGGGCGAAAGCCUGACCCAGCAACGCCGCGUGAAGGAUGAAGUCUCUCGGGAUGUAAACUUCGUAAGAAUAGGAAGAAUAAAUGACGGUACUAUUUGUAAGGUCCGGCUAACUACGUGCCAGCAGCCGCGGUAAUACGUAGGGACCAAGCGUUGUUCGGAUUUACUGGGCGUAAAGGGCGCGUAGGCGGCGUGGUAAGUCACUUGUGAAAUCUCCGAGCUUAACUCGGAACGGUCAAGUGAUACUGCUGUGCUAGAGUACAGAAGGGGCAAUCGGAAUUCUUGGUGUAGCGGUGAAACGCGUAGAUAUCAAGAGGAACACCUGAGGUGAAGACGGGUUGCUGGGCUGAUACUGACGCUGAGGCGCGAGAGCAAGGGGAGCAAACAGGAUUAGAUACCCGAGUAGUCCCUGAGCGGGCUGGCAAGGCGCAU
rnacentral:rRNA from 1 species